ensembl:lncRNA
UCCCCUGCUUGGCUCUAUUUCUUGAGAGCUGAGUGAGGAUCUAGGAUCCAUUUUUCCAGCAAAGGGUGGACCUGGCGAUCCUUCAAGGUCCUGGUCUGUUCUUUGUCCUGUCAUUGAAAGUGAAACUGUAAAACAAAUGGAGUUGAUUCUGCCCUUUAAGUGUAGAAAGAGAACAUACUCUGUUUUUCCGGAAUAUGGAGAACUAGCCACAUCCUGAAUCACACCCCUCUAAGCCAACAGCUAAUGGCACAGUGACAAUUUCACAGACAGGCUGUGUCAUCUUCAUAGAUGAUUACAGGCAGCUCCAUGACCUUCACACCCAGCUUGGCUGCUGUGGCUAAAAUGACCCCCACGCUGGGACAGGGCCUGGUGUCAGCCCAAAUAAACAACUGGCACGGUGGGGCCUGGACAGGAGCCCCAGUUCCCCCACAUCUGUCAGGCACUGGGGUGACUUGUGCAGCACUGCGAGAUCUCUGCUGCAGAAACUUGAGCUGUGACGCUGAGCAGAGCUGGAGUUAGUGAAUGGGAAGCAGGAUUCAGCACGCUUCAGGGUGGUUUGAAGAGCCAGGAAGCACUGGGGCUGUUUAAUUGAAAGUAACUGUAUAAAAAAAAGGAAUUAAUUCUUAUUAAACACCCACAGUGACAUUUUCUUAAGUGGAAAUUAAACAGGGAUUAAGGUGAAGCCUCCUAAGACUCUCCCUGUUGUGAUCAAGAAUAUUUUAAGGCAAGAGCACCAGGCCACGUUAAAUUUGAAGAAAUGAACUGAUCUGGAUGCACUCCGGUGCCUUUCCCUCUCUCCGUCCUGCUGCUCAGGGGAGCAGAGGCAGCUGGAUGUAGUGGGGUGCUAUGCAAAGAGAUGGUCUUAAACUGAGGGGGCCUCCUCAGAGCCCUGGCCUCUCAGCCAUGUUCUCAAGUGCUGCCUGAAACGGGAAGGGAAAAGAAAUGCUUUGUAAUGGAAACCCUAGAUAAAACAAGAAACGACAUUUUCCUUUGUGGUCCCCCCAGUGCUCUUGCCUGUACUUGGAGGAGGCCAUACUCCCCGUCUGCCUUUUGGGGAACCAGCAGAAAGUGUCCCUCGCAGGGAGGAUGCAGUGACGGUGGAGCAGAUGGAGCUGCUCAACCCCUCGCACCAGCGAUGCCAAGGCACGGAGGCACCCAGGGAGCAAGUGACAGGAGUCAAGGUCAAGCAAGUCAGGAGCUGCCAGAUUGAGAGACGUGGUUCUUCUUGCCUGUGUCACUGCUGCUGCUCCCUUCAGCCAUGGGACUUCGCAGAAAACUCUCCUGGAAGAUGCCUUUACUGCCAUAACCCUCUGGCUGGGUGUGUCGCCGCAGGGCUGACACAGCUCACUCAGAUGAGGUGACACAUGGCACGUGCCACCACGAUGCUCCCAGACAGAGGUCAGAGGGCUGCCCGCCCCCCUGCCCACCUCCCCUGCUUGCUCCCCUGCCUGCACAUGCAAGUGCUCCUACCUUCCCUCUGGAGACCCUGAGCUCUAGCAGCCCUUGCAGGGAUUCAGGGACUUUGUAGCUUGUGUCAGCCUGCUAAUCACAGCCUUUCUUGACCCCACCUCCUGGAGGAAGCUCAGCACCAAGCCCAUGGGCUGGAUUUUUCAAGAAGUUGGGCUAGUCUAAGACUGCAGUCCUGAGUGUUUAAUUGGCGUUAGCCGAGGGGAAGCAUGGCACAGCAGAGCUCUGAAGGGCCACCAACCCUUCUGCCCAUAACAGCAGAAGACGAGCCCCAUCCGAGCUGUCAGCAUGCUUGAGAAAGAACUGGGGGUGGAAGAGUUGCAGAGAGAUGCAGGGUCAUGGGCAAGGAGCUGAGCAGAGAGGGCACCAGGGCACCUGGUGGGCACCGGGAUUCCUCCAUCCUCCUUCAAGUGCAGGCUGGGCAAACUCCGGUCACUGCCUAUUGAUGCACUGGGGGAGGAGCAAGGAGGGAGCCAAGGCUGUCUCUGAAG